GAUGAACGCUAGCGGGAGGCUUAAUACAUGCAAGUCGAGGGGUAACAGGGGCUUCGGCCCGCUGACGACCGGCGCACGGGUGAGUAACGCGUACGCAACUUACCUCCAAGCGAGGGAUAGCCCUGGGAAACUGGGAUUAAUACCUCAUGUGAUUAUGAUGCCGCAUGGUGUUAUAAUUAAAGUUCAGGCGCUUGGAGAUGGGCGUGCGUCCUAUUAGCUAGUUGGUGAGGUAACGGCUCACCAAGGCGACGAUAGGUAGGGGGCGUGAGAGCGUGGCCCCCCACACGGGUACUGAGACACGGACCCGACUCCUACGGGAGGCAGCAGUAAGGAGUAUUGGACAAUGGGCGCAAGCCUGAUCCAGCCAUCCCGCGUGCAGGAUGACAGCCCUACGGGUUGUAAACUGCUUUUGUUAGGGAAGAAACCCCUCGAUUUAUCGGGGGCUGACGGUACCUUUCGAAUAAGCACCGGCUAACUCCGUGCCAGCAGCCGCGGUAAUGUCUAGCA
rnacentral:rRNA from 1 species